GGCCUGGUGGUCUAGUAGUAUGAUUCCUUCUUAGGGCUCUCUUGCCAUUUGGAGGAGGUCCCGGGUUCAAUUCCCGGCCAGGCCC
rnacentral:tRNA from 1 species